GGUCGAUUAGCUCAGUUGGUUAGAGCGUGGUGCUAAUAUCACAUCAGCGAUGGUGUGAGAGACGCCAAGGUCGCGAGUUCGACCCUCGUAUUGACCA
rfam:Pyrenochaeta sp. DS3sAY3a unplaced genomic scaffold IQ07scaffold_25, whole genome shotgun sequence.